rnacentral:lncRNA from 1 species
AGGAGGUAGAGGGGCCAGGCAUGGCUUAGAUGGUGAGUGGCCUGAAUGCCAGGGUAAGGGUUUGGCCUUUCCCUGGCUGCCCUAGCCAGGCCCUUGAGGGCAGAAACUAUUGGAAGUUUAUGUUUGGGAAAUACCAAGUGGGGCAGAGUUGAACAGGGCACGAAGGGAGGGAUGUAAGAAUCCACAUACUGGAGACCAUUGCCUAUGGGGAAACACACCCUUCCACCUGGGUUCCUCCAGAGGUGAACAGAAACCCUGUUUGCCUGAGCUUACACUGCCAACUGGCCUAGCCAUCCCCCAGGGGGAGCCAAUCAGAGAAAGUGCUGAGUCAUCAUCCCUAGCGGGAGAGUGUUAAAAAAAGGGGCAACAGGCUCAAAAUGGAGUCAUUUGUGCUGAGCCAACAUCACCAAACUGAGAUUUAAUGCCUAACUUAAAUCAGUUUCAAUCUCUCCCAGGAAUGGAAUCUUAGACAAGUCAAUUUGGAAUCAACUGGCCAGCACUGAUGAGGUAAUCUGCCUGAGAUAUCCCUACUGUCCCCUAAGGAAAGUGACCUUGCCAUAAACAACCCACUCUUUGUCCCUAUCUUCCUUGUCCUGUCCCCUCCUACUUAUACAAGUCUUCCAUUUUGUAUAGAUACUUGGGGAUUCUUGCCAUCUGCUAGAUGGUUAGCAGCCCCAUUUGAAUCAGUUUUUGCUCAAAUAAACUCUUAGAAUUUUUCAUAUGUCUCAAAGUUUAUCUUUUAGCAAGAGGGAAGAGAAAAAGAGGGAAGAAGUGAAGGGGAGGGGGAGAGACAAGCAAAUAGGUCCUUUUAGAAUGUCAGAGUUUCCUCUGCUAUGCCAAACACACACCUUUCCCCUGUGGGUUCUAAAGCAAUUGAGAAAUACCCAUACCUUUUUCUCUUGGAACUUAGGAAAUGGGGUAUUUUUUCCCCUUUUUCCCCCCAACCUUUUUUCUAUUCCAUCCCUAUUACACAAUCAAAGACAUCUUAGGAGGACUACCCCCAUUAUCUGGCUUCAUCCCCAAAUGAAUAAUUAUUCAAGAGUUAACGAAAAAUAACAUAAUUAUUAUUCCAACACUAAUGGCUAUCACCGCUCUACUUAACUUAUAUUUCUACCUGCGACUCACAUAUAGCACCGCACUUACCAUGUUUCCAUCCACAAACAAUAUAAAAAUAAAAUGACAAUUUGAACGUACAAAAAAGAUAACCCUUUUACCACCACUAAUUAUCAUCUCUACUAUAUUACUCCCACUAACACCUAUAUUAUCAGUCUUGGACUAGGAGUUUAGGUUAGACCAGACCAAGAGCCUUCAAAGCUCUAAGCAAGUGCUACACACUUAACCCCUGAUCAAAUCACCUCUAAGGGCUGCAAGAAUCUAUCUUACAUCAAUUGAAUGCAAAUCAAACACUUUAAUUAAGCUAAGCCCUCCCUAGAUUGGUGAGCUUCUACCUCACGAAAUUUUAGUUAACAGCUAAAUACCCUAGUAACUGGCUUCAAUCUACCUUCUCCCGCCGCGUAAAAAAAAAAAGACCCGGCAGGCAGCGUCUAGGCUGCUUCUUUGAAUUUGCAAUUCAAUAUGAAAAUUCACCACGGAGCUUGGCAAAAAGAGGACUUAAACCCCUAUCUUUAGAUUUACAGUCUAAUGCUUUUAUCAGCCAUUUUACCUAUGUUCAUUAACCGAUGAUUGUUCUCCACUAAUCACAAGGAUAUUGGUACUUUAUACUUACUAUUUGGAGCAUGAGCCGGUAUAGUAGGCACUGCCUUGAGCCUCCUCAUCCGAGCCGAACUAGGUCAACCUGGUACCCUAUUAGGAGAUGACCAGAUUUAUAAUGUCAUCGUAACCGCCCAUGCUUUCAUAAUAAUUUUCUUUAUGGUUAUACCCAUUAUAAUUGGAGGAUUCGGAAAUUGACUAGUUCCACUAAUAAUUGGCACCCCAGAAAUGGCAUUCCCCCGAAUAAAUAACAUAAGUUUCUGACUGCUCCCUCCAUCUUUUCUCCUAUUGCUAGCAUCCUCAAUGGUAGAAGCAGGUGCAGGAACAGGAUGAACUGUAUACCCCCCACUAGGCGGCAACCUAGCCCACACAGGAGCAUCAGUAGAUCUAACAAUAUCUUCUUCGUUACAUCUAGCCGAGUUUCCUCUAUUCUAGGGGCAAUCAAUUUUAUUACUACUCUUAUUAAUAUAAAACCCCCAGCUAUGUCUCAGUAUCAAACCCCUUUAUUUGUAUGAUCUGUGCUAAUCACAGCAGUCCUAUUGCUCUUGUCAUUACCUGUACUAGCUGCCGGAAUUACAAUACUUCUAACGGACCGAAACCUGAAUACAACAUUUUUCGAUCCUGCUGGAGGGGGAGACCCCAUUCUAUACCAGCACUUAUUUUGAUUUUUUGGGCACCCUGGAGUCUAUAUUUUAAUUUUGCCUGGGUUUGGAAUAAUUUCUCAUAUUUUGUUACAUAUUAUUUGGGGGAAAAAGAGCCCUUCGGCUACAUAGGAAUGGUUUGAGUUUUUUUUUUUUUUUUAAUUUAUGAUAGGCACACAGUGAGAGAGAGAGAGAGGCAGAGACACAGGCAGAGGGAGAAGCAGGCUCCAUGCACCGGGAGCCUGACGUGGGAUUCGAUCCUGGGUCUCCAGGAUCGCACCCUGGGCCAAAGGCAGGCGCCAAACCACUGCGCCACCCAGGGAUCCCCAUAGGAAUGGUUUGAGCAAUGAUAUCUAUUGGGUUCCUAGGCUUUAUUGUAUGGGCUCACCAUAUAUUUACUGUAGGGAUGGAUGUAGACACAAGAGCAUAUUUUACAUCCGCUACUAUAAUUAUUGCUAUCCCAACAGGAGUUAAAGUAUUUAGCUGAUUAGCAACACUUCAUGGAGGAAAUAUCAAAUGAUCUCCCACUAUACUAUGGGCUCUAGGGUUUAUCUUCCUGUUCACAGUAGGUGGAUUAACAGGCAUUGUCUUAGCUAACUCAUCCCUAGACAUUGUUCUUCAUGAUAUAUAUUAUGUUGUAGCCCACUUCCACUAUGUACUCUCAGUGGGAGCAGUAUUUGCUAUUAUAGGCGGAUUUGCUCACUGAUUCCCCUUAUUUUCAGGGUAUACUCUCAACGACACUUGAGCAAAAAUUCACUUUACAAUUAUAUUUGUAGGAGUCAAUAUAACCUUUUUUCCCUGUGUAUCUACAAGGGGGUUUCUAAGCUUUACGAUUCCUCAGGACCAGAUUGUUAGAGCUGUCCUUGGACUCAGGGUCUACUGUACUAAUAAGUACAAUAAAAUGGGAUUAGCACAUACAUGUAACAUCCACAUGUAAACCCCACCCUCACUUCUGACCACUGUUGCUCCAGCACCCUCCACCCACACAGAGUUGUAUC